UACGAACUGUGCGAACGUUAUUCGGAAUCACUGGGCUUAAAGGGUGCGUAGGCGGCGGCUCAAGUCAGGUGUGAAAUCCCCCGGCUCAACCGGGGAACAGCGCUUGAAACUGGGUCGCUCGAGUGGGGCAGGGGUGUAUGGAACUUCCGGUGGAGCGGUGAAAUGUGUAGAUAUCGGAAGGAACGCCGGCGGCGAAAGCGGUGACACUGGGCCUUGUCUGACGCUGAGGCACGAAAGCUAGGGGAGUGAACGGG
rnacentral:rRNA from 1 species